rnacentral:tRNA from 1 species
UCCUUCGUGGUGUAAUUGGAAGCAUACUGGACUCGUAUUCGAUAGAUCCAGGGUUCGAGUCCCGGCGAGGGCA